GGUUCUAUAGUGUAGUGGUCAUCACGUCUGCUUUACACGCAGAAUCCUGGGUUCAAUCCCCAGUGGAACCA
rnacentral:tRNA from 1 species